CGGGGCGUGGCGCAGCGGAAGCGCACCCGCUUUGGGAGCGGGGGGUCGCAGGUUCGAAUCCUGCCGCCCCGACCA
rnacentral:tRNA from 1 species